GAUGAACGCUAGCGGCAGGCCUAACACAUGCAAGUCGAACGGUAAGGUCUCUUCGGAGAUACACGAGUGGCGCACGGGUGAGUAACGCGUAUGCAACCUACCCUUAACUGGGGGAUAGCCCGGAGAAAUUCGGAUUAAUACCCCAUAAUAUCACAAUACUGCAUAGUAUAUUGAUUAAAACUCCGGUGGUUAAGGAUGGGCAUGCGUGACAUUAGCUAGUUGGUGAGGUAACGGCUCACCAAGGCUACGAUGUCUAGGGGGCCUGAGAGGGUAGUCCCCCACACUGGUACUGAGACACGGACCAGACUCCUACGGGUGGCAG
rnacentral:rRNA from 1 species